AUCAGCAGCAGCGAGCUCUCUGGAUUUAUCGAGGCCGGUUUGGUGGUGUAAGCAGAACCUGCCGACUCGAUGGAAGCAUUGCAGGUCGUAAAGAUAAGACAGCUCAGAGAAACGGCUUUUAUUGCUUUGCUGCACAGUCCGAUACUGUAAACCCCACUCUCUGCAGCUCUGAGGAGAGGAGCUCACAUACUGCAGCUCAAUUAGAGUGGAGCACGCUGCGUGGGAUCGCUCCUUGACGUGGCUGUAAUUGAAAUGAACAGCAGCUCGGCCUCCCCUGGAGAGGCCUGCCUAAUGCCAUUAGAGGGGAUCUGAGGGUCCAACAACAGCAAGGACACAGACUGAACGGGUCACAGGCUGAACAAACGCUCAUCUUGUGGAAGAAGCUGAAAAAUAUUAGAGCUUCUAAAAACAAAGCUUUAAAACAUUAAAUCUGAAUCUUUGAUAAUGUUUACAAGCUUGUUAAGCAUCCACAAAACUCUGUGAGUUGGAAAUAACCAUCAAUAACUUUCCCACAACUUAGUUUGACACCUGUUGACCAAGAGAAGCACACGUUAC